ensembl:lncRNA
UUUCAGCCUUGCUGCAAAGCAACAAUUAAGCCACGAGACGGAUGGCAAAUGUGAUCUCUGUUGUACAGCGUGUAAGAUGGCACCUCUGCAUGGCAGGCAGUGCUGUGGUUUUGAGUAUCUGGUUUGACUCAAGGGACUGAGGCACUUAGUGAGAUGGUCUGAACAAACUGAAACGAGGAAUUAGGAGUCAAACUCCGAAGCCAGAGUUCAGGAGCCAGAGCCAAGGGCAGGAGGAAGAGCUGUCCUGUCCACCGCUGUAUUGGAGAUGUAGAUCACACAAGGAAAUCUGCAGGAAAGGCCUAAGCAGGCUCUUCCACCCUAUCCUCCAUCCCUGGAUGCUAUGGAGCUGUGCUAUGAAUAAGGCUUUUUGAGCUGUGUUGAAUGCUUUUGUUUAAUGAACUUGAAUAAAAUAUGAGGUUGUGUUUGCCCUAGUCUGAGCAUGAGCAGAAGUACAAGAGAUCUGUGUGGUAGUGUGUUAUGUUUGGAAAGCUUCACUACUUCCUCACACGGUCCUCAGCUCC